AUGCAGUACUGGUCACUAGAAGGAAUCGAGGAGAUCCUUGGGAAGAAGGUGCGUGUGGACCACCUCGACAGCAGGACGUAGGAGCGCGGCCACAUGAAGACUUUCGCCUGCUGGGUCUGGACCAGCGACGUCGCCCACAUCCCCACCAAGCACACGCUCGAGGUCCUACCACGCGGCGCGGGCCGCAUCGAGGAGAUGCAAGGCUUCUCGCCGCCCGACCGGCGCGUCGCCCCCUCACCGGGCACCGCGGACUACACCAUGCUCAUCCACGUCGAUCGGGUGGAAGACUGGAUGCCCCCUUCGCCGCGCUCCUCCCACUCCGCCCAGAUUGGGCUACCGUCGUCCGACUCCGACACUGACGACCGGCCCCGCUUCACGGUGAUCCCCGCCACCUGGACCAUGGAGGUCGAGGACGACUAG
rnacentral:rRNA from 1 species